ACCCCGCCCCUCCCUUGCUUAGUCGCUCGGCUGGCCCGGCUCACCUUCGGGGUGAAGGCUACCAGCGAGCGUUAUAGCAGACGACUUUAAUAAAUGCAGGCGGCAGCAGGAACUCUGGGAACUUGGGUGCCCUUGCCUGGCAGUAAGGGUUGAAUUAUCCGGAUCUGAAAUACUUUACAGAGCCGAGGGGUGAUAGGCUCUGCAAAAGCACUUUUUGCCCCUCUCCUUUAUGCCAAUACUCGCUGACUGUGCACACAAGUCAUAUUCAGUAUUAAAUACAAACCGGUCUGUAAUUCAAUGGCUCUAGCAAGACGCCUCUGAGAGGGCCAGGUGGCGGGUGCAAGUUGCUCAUUAACCCUUUAGAGUCGCAGUUUGCAGAUCUGAGUUAGAUCCCCGGCUUUGAGGUCCUUCAGUUGCCCUCCUCCCCCACCUCCCCCCGCCACUGCGAGAAAAAUGUGCAAAGAGAAGGAAAUUUGCACAUCAAACGAGGGGCAAUCGCGGCGGUAGAUGAACUUGAUUAGGCAGACGCGUGAGAUCAAAGUGGCCGGGACCAAAGCGGACAGGGUCCAACGUGCCAGCACUGCCAAGAGAAGGCCUUUUGUACUCAGGUUAAAUAAGAACAUCCUGCAAGGAGUCUGUUCUUUUAUGCAGCCUAAAGAUCAAGUAAUAAUCAUUGACACUGAUACUGAGCAUGUCGAUUUUGAAGAGACUAGCAUUUCCUGGUAAUGAAGUGGAGUAUAUAUCCAUAUAUUUCUGUUUUCUGGAUGAGAAGACUAACCUAACUAAGUAGGAACCUUGAAGAAUCAUGUUCUUCCUAGGAAUUACAAAUCCCCCGAUUCCAUGUCUAACAUAAUUUCUACUGGCCUCUUUGCUUCUCAUGCUUUAGUACCAGUGCUUCUGAAUUUGAAAGUCUUCAUGCAAAUUGCCCAGGUUUGCUGGCAGCUGUGUCUCAGAAAAAGCUGUCUUCAGCAAGGCAGAAGCAGAAUGAAGGAGCUGGACUUGGAGAUCUCUCUCACCUCUGAAGUUGUGUAAGUGAAGUAUACUGACCCAGUGUGACCACGCUGCUAUUCGAAGACUUACUCAAAGUUUUCAAACAGACUAACCAUGUGGGACUGUGAUUUAGCAAGGAAAACAGCCAGAAUAAACAUGUUGAAAAGAAGAUCAAGAAGUUUAGACAGAGACUUGGAUCAUCAACCAAUUCUAAUUCUGCUACUUAGAGAAAAAUCCAACUAACAAAAUUAUUAGGACCAACAUCACUAAGAAUGCUGGUUGAUAUCUUAUGCAUGCUCUUUGAUUAUAGAUAUAGUUUUGGUUAAUAAAUAUAUAAAAUGGGUAGCUAUGCUCAAAAGCAACACCUUCAUUUUGGUGCUAGUUGUCUUCUAAACAAACUAAUAUUAUUCGAGCUAAAGAGAAAAAAAAAAACAAAAACAGGAAACAUGAAAAGCAGUGGCAUUAAACCAGCUCACUUUGAGUUUUCUGGACAUUCCAUUUUGCAUACAUCUCUCUUUCCAUUUUCAUUUAUAUAGGAGUUAUGCCAAAAACACUAGUUUACCAAAUGAUGUGAUCUAUUUCUUUCUCAUCACAAAACCAUCUAAACAUUCAUUUCAGUAAAAUAUCUCUCAGGCAUUUAACUUAAGUGUUAAACUGGUACUUUCUCAGAGUUCAAUUUGAGGUGGAUAAGACCAUAGUAAUUCAAUACAGCAAGUGUCACUGUAAGGGAAGCCCUCAGGUGGUCUCCCUAAUUAUUUCAUACUAAUUAGCUCAGAUAGUAAAAGGUUCUGUUUUAUUACCUUGAUGCAAGUGGCUGAUGCUUUGGGACAGUUAAUUGUGCUACAUUUCAUUUUUUAAAUGAAAAUGUCAUUACCUGGAUAUAGCUUUUUAUUGUGCUUUAAUAUUGUCAAUAGGUAAAACAUUACAGGAAAAAAGAUUAUUUUUCAAAUUUCUUAGCAUUGAUAGCUAAAUUGAAAUUUACUUUCUAUUUUUUAAAUAUUGAACUUCAUUGAUCAAACACUGUUCUGGUAUUUAGCUUCACAUUGUUAAAACCAGAGACAAAGGCCACAUAAACGGAAACUUUAGCGAGAAAACAUUAGCUGUGUUUUACCUUACAUGGUGAAUAUGUAUUUAAUUUUCUCUUCACUACUUAAAUAACUCAAAUACUAAUUCCAGGGUGCUUUUUAAGUUCUUACUAAUCCUAAGUAUUUAGUUCUGUGAUCAUUUUUAUCUUUGAAUAACAGUCAUCAUUCUCCCUUCCUGCAUUGUCAUAACCGUCAUGUUUCCAUGGAAACUGUGGAGAAAGAAUAAAAUGGUAAAACACCUCCAUUUAGGUCUAAGUUGACAGGGUUGUUUUUUAUUAGGAGCUUCAAUUAUUUAGACAGAUAAGAAUAUGUGCAGUGGCCUAAUAAAUGAUAUAGAAUAAUAGUCGAUCUUCAAAAACAGGAAAUUAUGUUUCCAGCUAAUAGAACUUAGCAAUUUCUGUUAAGAACUAGUUAUUGGUGGUGAGUCUUGG
rnacentral:lncRNA from 1 species